rnacentral:lncRNA from 1 species
CAUUCCCCAGGAUCCACUGCUGGGAACUAUAGUCACCCUGGAAACCACUGGUGCAGAAGCCCUGGUCCUGGGGAAGGCAAGGCAGAGAUGACGCUGGUCCCAAUCCCAUUUGCUGUGCCUAAAGAUAGGCGUUUAUACCUCACCCACAACUCCUCCUCUUCUGUGACGUCAUUUUAUCCUUGAAAUGACCUUCCCAGAUAAACAAGUAUUGGAUUCAUCUCUCAACAGAUGAAGAAAUUCAGAUUCAAAAAAUAAAAUGACAUAAUCUAGGAUCACCGGGUGGGGUUCUGGCAUCCUGAGUCCUGUCCUCUGCACUGGACUCCACUCCCCAUCUCUCGUCCUCCCCAGCCCCUGCCUCCUGCUCUCAGCACCUACUGCCCUGAUGACCAGCCAGAGCAGGCCUGGGGGGUGGAGGUCAGUGGUCAGUGGGGCCAAGGGCUGAGCCCCACAAAGCCCAGGCUAGCUAAGCAAACCCUGCACAGAGCUCUAGGCCCCGGGACUUAGAAGCUUGAGCAGCGGAGGGAGGUUCCCAUAGGGAGAUGUGGACCUGCCUACCCCACCCUCCCUGACACCUUGGCACACCGCCCCUCCUGUUCCCCAUUUUUCCCAGGAUGAGGCUGAAGUGGCCACAAAUGAGGCCCCAGGACAACAUGGCCCACUCAGAAAGGCCGGUUGGUCCAAACGCAUGCCCCUCCAUUCUCUGUGGAGUCCAUACCACUUCUUAUCACCACCAUCACUGCCUCACCAGGGGCCCAACUGGGGGGUGGGGGAGGAAGCUGGUGAAGAAGAAGGAGGAGGAGGAGCCCGGGCUUCCCCUCUGAGACUCAUACCUGGCUGGUAUAGGCGGAGGGUGGCAGGGGGUACUUCUUGCCGUGGAUCUCGAAGACAGCCGUGGGAAUGCUGCUCAGGCGCCCGCAGUCGAUGUCAAACUAAAGAACCAAGGGAGGCCCUCUUAGAAGCGGCGAGUAAGUAAGCUGACUGAAGGGGUUCCGGAAGGGCCCAGAACCCCUCCUGCCACCCCAUGAGCCAUGGGGUGGGGAGAGGGCCCUGCCUACACCUAGGACCACAGGGAGGCUCUCAGGGUGAGGCCUGGUCCUGAGACAUGGUUCUCAAAAGAGUCAUAGCUGUCAUCAACCCAGGGACAGACCCAAGCUUGGGACCCAAGGGGGUUGCCUCUGUGUCUCCCCAUCUAGGCCCAGCCAGAGCUCACAGGGAUGCUGGGAGCAUUUGGCUGUCAAGGGGAGAAGAACAGACUCGGGGGUGGAGGAGGAAGAAGGGGCACAGCACAGUCCAGCGCGUCAGGGAGGGCACCACUCCCAGAGGAACAGGAGGUCAGACGGCAGCCGCUACCUGAGGCAUGGAGGCUCCCACGGCAAUGAAGCCAAAGCCAAAGGCCCCAGCAGAGGCCUCCGGAGAAACCCCAACCUCGGCUGGGAAACGGGCUCCCUAACCACCCCUGCAUCAUCUCGUUUGUGUGAAGGGGCCCCCACUUCAAGGCAACCUUGUGGGGCGGUGGGGCCUGACCUCACCUCAUUGUACUGGCCCGCAGUGGCUCCAAUGGCCUGCUGGAUGUUGAGGAUGUUGCCGCCAGGCCCCACCAGCAGGGAGGUGCCGGUGUCCAGGAUGGCCUGACAGCCACCGUCACAGGCCACCACCACGCCGUCAAUGAUGACACUUCCAAAGGUAUGCAAGAUGGCCUCAUCCAGCCCUCCCUCCCCAGGUCCUUCCUACCCUCCCCUGCCAGGAUCUGCAGUAGGGAGGGAAGGCCCCCAGCCCUCAGCCCCUUCCCUGGGGCCCCUUCCUGGAGGCCCCAGUACUUUCUGAGCCCAGAGAAAAAACCUAAAACCAUUUUCUUCCAAUUCAGUGGCUAAAUUGAGGACAUCCCACUUUCCAUGGGACAGAAACUUCAAUAAAACAACAAAUUCACCCACAUUAAGGAGUAGAGCGAGUAGCAUACUGGUUGCCUGAGAUCUGGUUUCAAGUUUUUGCUCUGCCAUUUACUUGCUGUGUGUCUCCAGCAAGUUACCCAACCUUUGUGUACUCAGGCUUCCCUUCUACAAAAUGGGUACAUUAAUAACCCCUUCUUUGACUUCCUCAAGAGGUGGUCCUGAGGUUCAAACUCAAUGUUAGUCCAUUAUAAAGUGGGGUAAUAGUAGCACCCACCUCAUGGUGUCUCAGUGAGGAAUAAAUGAGACAGUCAUAUAAUCGUUCAGCACAGCGCCUAGCAGGCAGUAGAUGCCCCAGAAAGGCAGCUGGUCUUGUUCAUAAAGCACAGGUAGAAUAUGUGGCACUAGCACCGACAAAGGUCACCAACCUUGGAAGUGUCUAGUUCAGCUUCUCAUGGGUGGUCUUACCAGCUACUGUGCUGCAGUCCUCAGAGUGUGGUGGGCUGACGCCCGGGCCCUCACAUCCCCACAGCUGGAUCAGCCUCUGGCUGAGGCCCACACAGUGUGGCCGCUCACCCACCUGUCCACAGUGAACUGCCAGUAUUCUUGCAGUCAUGGGUAUCCAGUGCAGGGAGCCCACUUCCGGAGCACUGCCUUGGGCUCCUAGAACUCAUCCAGCCCAUCCCAGCUCCCGGCUCUGGUACACGCUUUCUCCCCAGACGGCACCCACUCCUCCCUCAGCAAAGACUGCCCUGGCUGCCCUCGGCUGGGCCUUCCCCUGUUACUCAGCCUCUGACACACCCAAAUCUCCCCUGCUGCACCCUUAUCACACUGUUUGAUUACAAUAGUGUAUGUAAUGGUGUGCUGUCUGCUUCUCCUGCUAAAAUGUUAACUGCCAGUUUGUCUUAUCUGCUGAUGUGUCCCCAUCUCUGGCAGAGCCUCUGCACAUAGUAAGGGCCCAGUAAGUAUCUACUGGGUGAAUAAAUGCAUGAGUGAAUGCACUAAUUAGCCCCCUAACUGCAUUCUCCUGCCUCGGCCAUCCAGCAACUUCUCCUGGGGAGGGUCUCUUUCUCUCCUCCCUGCCAUCCUCCCCUCUUUCUGAGCCAAGCUGCAUCAUCACGGGGUGCAGGGAGGUAGAGUAGGAAGCACAGGCCUGGGAGCAGGAGCCCCAGGCUCCAGGCCUGGCUCAGCCGCCACCACUCAGGGUGUUGGUCCCUCCCCAAGCCUCAGCUUCCUCCCUAGUGAAAGGAGUAGGUUGGACUCCUUUGGAGUCAGCUCUAAAAGUCUGUGCAUCUCAGUGACAUUAGCAAACGGUUAUUGAGGCCCUGCCACUUUGGGAAAAAGAACUUGAAAGCCCCUGUGCAGAGGUGGAAUCGGGCUUUGUUUUUUGAGUGCCAGAAAGGAAAGUCAAAUUUUGAUCCAGUGAACUCUGGCUGUACAAAUGACUGUAUCAUGGGCCUUUGGACAAGAGGUUGGAUGUGCCUGGAAAGGAGAAGGUUUGCUUGGAUGCUGGUGACUACCCUUGAGUGUCCCCAAGGAGUGGACAGUCCUUACAAGGACAUCAAACUUAGGCCCCGGCUGGGCACAGCUCUUACCUACUCAUGUAGACUGAGAACAGGUCUUGGGCCACCAGGUGCCUCUGCAUCGUGUUGUCAAACACUGGCACUGACUACUCAGAGGCAAGAGAGGGAUAGGCCAGCCCCAGGAUCCCAUCAAACUCGGAGUAGGUGAAGACGUCGCCAGGUUCCUGGGUGCUCAGACCCACAGUCUGGUGGGGGUCCACAAUGUUGGAGACCUGCAAGAGAAUCAUGACCUCCACUAGGUCCUGCAGCCAGAGACAGAAACAUCCCAGGCAUGAGGGCAGCCAGUCCCAGGUCAGGAGCCAGUAUCGCAGUUCCAGUUCCUUUCCUCUUAUAGGCAACAUAGUUAUUUGCCCUUAAGAGACAGAAAAAAACAAAAACAAAAAACAGCAACAAAAAAAACCCACCUCUCCUUUCCCGGCAGUUAGUGCAAUGAUCUUGAGGAAUUGUUCUAAUGAGGCAGGGGAGGAGGGGAACAGAGGACAAGGUGGACACAGACCCUGGUGCUCAUUGUGCAAAAGUUGGGACUGAGCUCAAAGAAGGGGGCAGAAUGAGGGAUGCUCCAAGGCCCUCUGCAGGCCUGCAGCCCUCCCACCAGCUAUGUCUGGAACACCUCCCAGCAAAAAGCCAUAGAAGCAGCAGGAAGUCCAAAAAGAACAUGCACACGCUUUAUGUCUCCAAGACCCAGGUGUAGGCUCCUGUUCUGCCAUGUGCUAACUGUGUGACCUUGGACAAGUACCUGCCCAACCUCAAUCCCCUUAUCUGUUUAAGGGAAUAGUAAUACCUACAUCUCACAUCUCAAGGCAGGGCUUUGACUAAAUAAUACUAACACUGAACAUUUAUUGACAUUUACUAAGUGAUUAUUGAAUAUGGAUCAGCACUAUGCUAAGAAAGUGCUAACUCCAAAAUAUUUUCUUAAUCUGCCCACUUCUUCAGAUGCCCAAUGUAUCCACCAGCCUACUCUGACCACUACUGCCUCUUGUCCCAAAGUGGUCAGGACACCUCUCCUGCUUCCACAUGAGACCCCUGAGGGAAGCUUUCCCCGACCCCCUGCCCAAGGUAGUGAGUGAUAGCAGCCCACUGCAGCACUGCUGAGGUUCCAGGCACUGGGCCAGCUCUCCAGUGAAGAUGCACUGAAAAUAGCAGGGAAGAAAGUGAAUGGCUCAGGCCAGCAGAGGAAAUAGGACUGGGCAGGGGAAUUGGCUGUCAAAGGCCUGACUGCUGGCCAGCUCAGCAAGCAGCCCUGAGGCCUCUGCUGUCUGGCAUGGAAUCCCGAGGAGGCCUGAGCAGAGCACCCUGGUGGGCACCUGCCCAGUGAGGAAAAUACUGUCCACAGAGAAGGACUGUGCCCUUCUGGACUCAAAGCAAGAAAGGUUUCAGCCAGACCCAAGGAAGAGACCAAGGAAAGUCAAGGUGGUCAGCACUGAGAGACACCACCAGAGUUUUCACGUCAGAUGGUGCAUGCAGAAAGAAAGAAAGAGGCAAACAUCCACUGGGUACCUACUAUGUGCCCAUCACUGUAUUAGGUACUUUGGAGGCCAAAAAGAGUCAAGGGAAAGGGGAACCCUUAUCCUAGAGGGACAGGUGCUCUCGGACCUGAAAGAAGAUGCUGCUCUGACUUAUAAAGCAUGAGGUCAAACCAAGAGCACUGCCCUGAGAGCCAGAGGCGAGGUCCCACACUCAGCUCCCCCAGGCACCAGCUGUGUGACUUCAGGUAAGUUAUCAACUACAAGCCUCGGUUUCCUCAUUUGAACAACGAGGAUAAUGACAUCUUCCUCAAAGGGCUGUUGGAAAAACAAAAUUUAAAAACAAGACUAUACAUAGGACACUGAAGAGCUCAGUCCUGGCACCAGCUCAGAAUUCGGAACUAACUGUGUCAAGGAUGCAUGGAAAAGGAUCAGGGAGACGGGAACCUGGACCUGAGAGUGCCCUCAGGUGGGGCUCUGG